rnacentral:rRNA from 1 species
GUAGGUGGCAAGCGUUGUCCGGAAUUAUUGGGCGUAAAGCGCGCGCAGGUGGUUCUUUAAGUCUGAUGUGAAAGCCCCCGGCUCAACCGGGGAGGGUCAUUGGAAACUGGGGAACUUGAGUGCAGGAGAGGAAAGUGGAAUUCCACGUGUAGCGGUGAAAUGCGUAGAUAUGUGGAGGAACACCAGUGGCGAAGGCGACUUUCUGGCCUGUAACUGACACUGAGGCGCGAAAGCGUGGGGAGCAAACAGGGAUUAGAUACCCUGGUAGUCCACGCAGUAAACGAUGAGUGCUAAGUGUUGGGGGGGUUUCCGCCCCCUCAGUGCUGCAGCUAACGCAUUAAGCACUCCGCCUGGGAGUACGGUCGCAAGACUG